rnacentral:tRNA from 1 species
UGCGGAAUUGUGUAACGGCAGCACGACAGACUCUGACUCUGUUUGUCUAGGUUCGAAUCCUAGUUCCGCAGCCA